AUUGAUGUUGCUGAGGAAACGGCAAGACAGGCAUUAGUGUCUGCCUUUGUGCAAGGGCUCUUGCCUAGAGUGGGAGAGCAGUUAAAGAUAAAUGUAGUAGAUUGGGAAGGAAAAAAUGUUGAGGAAAUUAUAGCCGCAGCACA